rnacentral:rRNA from 3 species
UGUCGUCAGCUCGUGUUGUGAAAUGUUGGGUUAAGUCCCGCAACGAGCGCAACCCUUAUCCUUUGUUGCCAGCGAUUAGGUCGGGAACUCAAAGGAGACUGCCAGUGAUAAACUGGAGGAAGGUGGGGAUGACGUCAAGUCAUCAUGGCCCUUACGACCAGGGCUACACACGUGCUACAAUGGCGCAUACAAAGAGAAGCGACCUCGCGAGAGCAAGCGGACCUCAUAAAGUGCGUCGUAGUCCGGAUUGGAGUCUGCAACUCGACUCCAUGAAGUCGGAAUCGCUAGUAAUCGUGGAUCAGAAUGCCACGGUGAAUACGUUCCCGGGCCUUGUACACACCGCCCGUCACACCAUGGGAGUGGGUUGCAAAAGAAGUAGGUAGCUUAACCUUCGGGAGGGCGCUUACCACUUUGUGAUUCAUGACUGGGGUGAAGUCGUAACAAGGUAACCGUAGGGGAACCUG